AUGCGCCCCGCCCCGACCCUGCUCGCCCUCACCCUCGACGCCGCGCUCCUCCGCAUCGCCACCCUCCCCGACCUCUCCCGCCUCCCCGACCACAUCCUCGUCGACCUCUUCCGCAGAACCCUUAGUGCUGGUAAGCUGACAGAGAGAGUCCUCAAAUUGUUUCUGGCAACCGACUGCGAGGAGAUCAUCUUGCUUGUUCAGCUCCUCAACAUUAAGCAGCCACUUCUACCGGUCCUUCCCACGAGGUGCUCUGAGAAGUUCUAG
rnacentral:rRNA from 1 species